CUCUUGUUAAUGUAUGGAUUAAUAAACUGACUUUUCUAGGAUACAGAAAUUGAUAAUAAUUCAUCUCUCAAAGCAUCAUCUUAGCGGGCUGUUAUUUUGAAAUUCAUCUCCAUCUCCGAUGGAUUUCAUAUGUUUAUAUAAAGUUUAUCCAAGUUUGUAAAGUUUUUCUCGUUUCUUUUCAUUGUUUCUUUGGUUUUAUUUGAUUCCACUUUUCUAAGAAUGAUUUUGGAAAGCUGAGAUCUAUUCCCGUUUUGGGUGGUUCCAUCUUCGAGCUUAUUAUCUAUCUAUAUAUAUAAAGGAGGGUUUUCUCUCACCUCAUGCAGCCACGUCAGCGAGAAGAGGGUGGGCAAAAGACGACACGUCAGCAUCUAUUUUUUCAAGUUUUUUGUCGUGUGUUUUGUUAUACCGUAGUGGGCUUUUCCUUGGCUGGUUAGGCUGCCUUUAAUCGUCGUUACGUAAUCGAGUUUGUUGGGACUACAUUUCGAUCCAUUACAGAAGAAGAACAGAUGUCUCCUGCCUGAUUCAUCAACUUGCUGUUCUUUAAUCGAAACAAGAAGAGAAAACAAAGAUCUGAUCCGAGUUGACCCGAGAUCCCGUUUUCUGCGAUCGUUAAAGCAAUAGAUCUGUUUCUCCAGACUCAAAGACAUCGUGAAAAUAAAACCUAAAAGGAAAAGAGACUCAUGAACAACAGAAGCGUUUUCAAUCUCAGAUUUAACAACGAGCAUUUCAGAUUCCACCAGAUGACCAAAAUCUAAUGGAAAGAGUGGGAACAGUGAAGCCUUUGAGUGCCUCAGCUUGCGAUCAAAAGCAAUCUCUUCCUGUGGGAUCUCAAGAUCAAAGGUGCUUUGAUCAUACUCUAAAACAUAGUAUGUAUCAUCAUGUACGGGGAUACUUUCAGUGUCGCUGGUCGUGAUAUUCCCAUUGUACGUCGUGUCAUUAAGUAUAGGGUCACGAAAGGGAGCUUACAUGAGAAGUGGAUGUUUUGACAAAAGAUGUUGGUUCUGCUGAUUUGGAAUGACACUUAGUGGCAAAAAACUACGUUGGGGAUUUUUUAUUAACUUUCCUACAGUAUCAAUCACAUUGUCUCUCUAAGUGUUCUUUCCAAGACUCAGCUUCAAGCCUUCAACAAUAUCAAGUUGAACAUCAGCUCAGGAGAGAAGUAGAGAUUCAGCCUAUAUUCGGGAACUGUGGCUUAUGAUUAUUUUUAUGAUGAUGCAAAAUCACUACACAGUUAUCAUGAUGUCUUCGAUAAGAAAAGUCUUCAAUCAAGACACAGGGAAUGAAAAGAAGAAAGACUGGAUCAUAAACAAGUUCAUCUGAGAUAAAAAGAAAUGGGUUAAUCUGAGAUACUACAAACUGUAGCCGCCACUUGCUUCUGUCUUUUGAUGUUGGACAAAAAAAAACUUCUUUACUAUCAUAAAUCCUAACCAAAACAAAACUUUUUGGAGAAGAAAAAUUAUAAUUACAAUGCUUACCCAGAUGGAAAAUAGCUAACGUUGAUUGAUUGAUUCUGUGGAAGAUUGAAAACCAUGUGAAUAUUUUCAUCCUAUAAAUUGUAAACCUAAGUUCCAAACAAUUAACGAAAGAAGUAACCUUUUUAUAAGUUGAGUCCAUGUAUAUAUAUAUCACUCUCCAUACUAACAUUUAUUCAAAUAGUUCUGCUAUUUUCAACUGCAUCGUUCAUGAAUAUAGCUACUAUAUCAAGCUGAGGAAAUAAUACCAAACACUGACACGGAGAAAUCUCUUACUGAGAAAUGAGAAUGUAGCUGAUGUGGACCAAGUUUCACGAGGAGGUAAUCCAUCAAAAAAGCCACAAAAGGAAUAGAUUCCUACAUCGAAACAUAAACUUAAACUGUAAAUUAGUUAAACUGAGAGAUAAACCGCAAAGAGACGAUUCGACCCAGAAUCUUCUUCCUCUGAAAUGGAAGACUCAGUAGACUCAAAGCCCAUGACCACGAUAAUCAUCAUAUUUACUUUUAUUUACUAUUUAUCUUCACUACCAUUCUACUGUUUCCAUUAAGCUUCUCCAUUAGCUCCUCCCAUUGAGCUUAUUCAUCAACUCCUCUCAUCUUCCUCUCCCACUAUGUCAAUUUUAAUUAUGCAUUUCCACAAUUGCUUUGCAAAUCCAGAAUUUUUAUUCUAUAAAUAACGAUGAAGACCUCUCCAUAUUUUAAUGCUUCAUUCAAUAUAGGAAUUAUAUAGUUUCAUUCAUAUAGCCAACACUAAAAGAUUAAAAGAUUUAGUUACUUCUUUUAGCUUUAGUCUUUGAAGAGAAAAACAAUUUCCAGAUAUGCAGUAUGGUUCCUCUUAAUUUCCAAAUUAUUAAUGGUUAUGCUACAUUUAGGUUAUUUUGGUUACAUUAUGUUUGGUUCACUCUAACUUAUUCAAAGUAAAUUAUUUGAUAUGAUAUGGUAUGAAAACUCAAGUAAAAUUCUGCUAGAAAUGUAAUAUUUUAUUUAAUUUAUAACACUGUUAAUCUAUAAAAAUAUUUUCAAAUAACAUGAGCGAAAUUUCCAACAAUUUUUUUUUCUUAAAAGUUUAAAAAUGCUAAAAAAAAUUUUUAUAGAUUAAAAUGCUAAAAAAAGUUUAAAAUUAAAGAAAAUUUAAUUAUAAUUUGAAAAAAUAAUAUAAACAGAAUCAAAAAUAUAUUAUAAAAACAUAAUUUGUUGUUACAUAAUAUAUACUAAUUAUUAUUUAUGACAUUAUUGAAACUGUUUGUAUAUUACUUUAAAAUAUAACUUUUUAUAAUUUUAUCCCACUACAUUUGAUUUUCAAUUGAUUUAACUUAGAGGUGGAUGUAUUAAUUUAUAAUCAUGAGAAAAUUAGUUGUUGUAAUAAUAUUAAAAUCUGAUAAUUUUAGAAAUAAAAAAAUAUUUGUUAUUCUUACUUUAGAUUUACUUCAUCUAUAUCAAAUUGAAAUAGAAAUCAAAUAGAAAAAAUAUAAAUCAUUACAUUUUCCUUAUUUAUUUAUUAAUUGUGUUCUCAAACAAAAACAAAUGAUAGUAGUUAAACCAAAAUUUACUAAAAUUUACUAAAAUUUAUAAUAUGAUUUAUAAUGAAAAUAAAAUUUAUUAUUUUCAAUAUAAACUAAUUUUUCAAAUAUAUUUAAUAUAAAUUAGUUUUAAUUAAACUCACCCGCCCGUAGGGCGGGCCAACCCCUAGUUAUUUAUAAAGAUGGCUUUUGAUAUUAGAUUUCAGUUUUCCUCGAAGUUUAUUAGAUCUUGGUUAAUUUGAAUCGAAUUCUCUGAAAACGAUGGUGCGGAUUGGUUAGUGAUUUCAUGUUUCUGUGGCGUUCGGCUACUCUUUUUCUGGGCCUCUCGUUCCGGUAUGUCCGGUGGUUCUCCGGUUAGAAUUUCCGGCAACAUUUUCAAAAUUGGUGAAGAAAGGGAUGUUUCUGCUCUACCGCCAAGUGUCCAUCUGUCGCAUGCGUGAGGUGUUUGGCCAUGAGUUGUCGAACCUUUUUUUUCCUUUAGGCUUUACGGUUGUCCUAGUUAUCAUGUUAGUUUGAGCUUUGUUUUUUGGGCUUCUUCUUUGUUUUGGUUUUUAAUAAAUUGAGAUGAAAAAAAAAUCUAUCUAAUACUAAAAGGGUUAUAUGAGGAGUAGGGAGGCUGUCCACGUCAGAUUGGAAAUUCGUCCAAUCAGAUUUUAACGUUUUGCCACGUAAUCAAAUGAUUUCGGAUAUUGGGUUUAACUUUUUUAACGAGCCGGCAAUUUAAUCUUAAUGGCCCAGUAAGCCCAUUUCGUAGAAGGUAUUGUCACCUUAAUCUUCACCUACGCGAGAACCGAGAUCUGUUUUUUCAUUGGGUCCAAACCCUAAAUUUCGUGAACCCUUUGCUUUUCUCCUUCUUCUUCUUCGUUUCUGUUUUACGAAUCUGUUGAUCAAUCAAUACACUUUCCAAUUCUUUUCCCCUUUAAUCUCAUUUAUGGCUUCCUUUCACCUUCCUCCUCUAAGACUCUUUAUAACACUCUUCUUUUUUACAGAUUUGUUACAUACAAAGAUAUACUCUCAAGCGAUAAAUUUCAUCAGCAAAUCCCCUGUUUCCGGCGAUCUUACCUCGAAAACAGAUGAUUUUUUUCCCGGAAGCUUCUUAGAGGUGUCAGACGUCGGUAGCAUGGCGAUUAUCGAGCACCAACGUUCAGAAGAUUAUGACCCAGCCAUUUGUACGUUUACUUGGAACUUCUUUAUUUCAUAUAGUUGUUGUUUGACUACUUUUGUCUCUCUCUAUUCAUUGACAUAAUUCAGUUUUGUUGUGGUUUCAAUGCAUCUAGAACUUGAUUUUCUUCAAAAUGGAAGCUUAGAACCAAUGAUUUUAGGAUUGUGGUACAUGCUCUGAUUCAUGCUCUAUCCAUUUAGUAUUUGUGAAGCAGAAAGCUCAGAUCCAGAUUUGGCUAUUUGAGCAGAAAUGAGGAUACGGAAGAAUUAAUGUAAGCAAUCAUAUUUUCUUCUGUGCUACACAUUUUCCAGCGACUAAUCUGUUGUUAAUGACAUAAGUAUGAACUAUGUAGUUCCUCAGUUAGUUGUCUUGGAAAAUCGAGUUUGAACACAUCAACACUAUGACUAACUCUCUAAUUCAGUUUUUAGAAAAGAAUGGGUCAGUUACUUAAUUUCACUUUCUUACGGUAGGACUCCUACCUUGCCAGGUCUGUCAAAAAAAUUCAAGGAUUUUGAUUGUUUCAGUUUUUUUUUGGAUUGUUUAUAUUUAGUGUGUUGGCAUUUGGAUCUAGAGAGAACAUUGAUCCUUCCGAAUACCAAGAUUCUUUACUAUAUUAACUCUAAUCUGUAUUUUGUCGGUUCCAUAAUGUGUUCAGUUGUUUCCAUUGAUUAAACAUUUAGGCUGUCAAAAGACUUUUCAUCUGGCUACUGUGAAAUUUACUAAAGGAAAUAUUUCUGUGAGACUUUCGUAAAGGAGCAUCUUAAGGAACCAAUAUGUUGCUACUUGCUGUUAGAAAAUCUAUGGGACAAUGCUGCAGAUGCAGAAGAAGACACUUUAUGUUGCUAAGGCUGAAAAGUGCAAAGUUGGCUAUAAGAAGAACAUGAGAAACUACAACAGAUUAUCUGAAGGUCGAAAGGAAGAUGAGGCCUUCUACCAAUACAAAUCUAGAAAAACCGUCAUACUCCUCCUGCCAUGUUCAGACUGCAUGUUUCCUCUUCUAUGUGACUCUUGAUUUUCUAAGCUUUCAUUCAUGUUCUUGCGUUACAGUAAUAACUCUCCUUAUCCAAAUGUUUCAUGUGUUGCUUUUCAAGUUUAACUUAAAAGCUUUCUUCGCAUA